CUCCUUUUAACCCAAGAGCAAAUAGUGGCCCACAUUUACAAGUUUUUCAUUGGCCUUUUGGGGACGGCUGAGGAAAAAACUCUUUGCCUUCGGGAGGACCUAUGGGAUCCAACGAAACGGGUGUCACAGGAAGAGAACGAAGGGCUUGCUCUCUCGUUCCUGCCGGAAGAAAUCGACAAAGCCUUGGACGACAUGAAAAUGGACACAGCACCCGGGCCGGACGGGUGGCCAGUAGAGUUUUUCAAGAAGUUUUGGCCGUGCCUCAAGCACCUUUUCUAUGAGAUUGUGAACGGCUUCGCUUUGUGUACGGUAGACUUGUCGCGCCUUAACUACGGGGCUAUUAGUUUGAUCCCUAAAGUGAAAGGUGCCGAUAACAUCAAGCUCUUUAGACAGAUCACUUUGAUCAAC
rnacentral:rRNA from 1 species